rnacentral:ncRNA from 1 species
UCUUCUAAAGAAGAGCUAAUAAGAUAGAUGGAGUACGUAAUGAAGCAGUUAUAUUCGGUACAGCGAAAGAUUGGAGGAAUUGUGGGACGAAAUGUCUUCAACCUAUUCUCAAACUUUCAAUGAGUACGACGUCUUGCUUGCUUGAAGAAAGCGUAGAUUUUGAAUGUUAAACUGUUAAAGUGGACCAUUUUUGAUAAGCAGAACUGGCGCUGUGGAAUGAACAA